ensembl:lncRNA novel transcript
AAGCUACUACUUCAAGAAGCAGCGGGCUCUGCGGCUCAGCCCAGGCUGCGGGGGUUGGGGGGCGCUCCCACGCGGGGCUCGCCUUCUGCCACGCGGCGCGCAUCAGCGACCUCUCCAACUAGGAGCUGGCGCGCUCGCUGCACAAACUGCACGAAGUAGGCACCCGCCCCAGGUGCGCGCAGCCCGUACUCUCAGAUUCCUAACCUGGAGGGGUUGGCGCUCCCGGAACGCAGGACACGAAGCCCAGCCCCGGGCCCCGGCUUCCGCCUGAUCCAGCCCUACUAGCCCGGCCGCCCCAAGAUCCCGCCCAGCCCGGGGCGUGUCUCGGCCUAGGGAUACUGGGCCAGCCACGAAAGCCUCCGCCCCCUCGAAGCGGGCUCCCUCGCCGCCAACUCUAGUGAAGAAGCAGCCCUUCUCCCCGGCGCCCGCUGGUUUGCAGAGGCCUGCUAUGAAGAGCUUGUGCAAGCCUCGCUGCAGGGAGCGCACGUCCGCCAGGACACUGUCCAGGGACACUGGGCCAGGGAUGGGGCAGUAUCAGGUCAGUGAAUCGGAGAGGCAGCCCUCCCACCAAUUAUAUAC